CCUACGGGAGGCAGCAGUGAGGAAUAUUGGUCAAUGGGCUCGAGCCUGAACCAGCCAAGUAGCGUUAAGGAUGACUGCCCUAUGGGUUGUAAACUUCUUUUAUAAAGGAAUAAAGUGAGGCACGUGUGCCUUUUUGUAUGUUCUUUAUGAAUAAGGAUCGGCUAACUCCGUGCCAGCAGCCGCGGUAAUACGGAGGAUUCGAGCGUUAUCCGGAUUUUUUGGGUUUAAAGGGAGCGUAGAUGGGUUGUUAAGUUAGUUGUGAAAGUUUGCGGCGCAACCGUAAAAUUGCAAUUGAUACUGGCAGUCUUGAGUACAGUUGAGGUAGGCGGAAUUCGUGGUGUAGCGGUGAAAUGCUUAGAUAUCACGAAGAACUCCGAUUGCGAAGGCAGCUUACUAAACUGCCACUGACAUUGAUGCUCGAAAGUGUGGGUAUCAAACAGGAUUAGAUACCCCAGUAGUC
rnacentral:rRNA from 1 species